GCUCCGGUGGUGUAGCCCGGCCAAUCAUUCCGGCCUUUCGAGGUUUCGCCGAAGAGAGCCGGCGACCCGGGUUCAAAUCCCGGCCGGAGCA
rnacentral:tRNA from 1 species